rnacentral:tmRNA from 3 species
GGGGACGCGUGGUUUCGACAGUUUAGUGAAUAUGAAACUGCGGGCCGUGGUGCCGUCACCACGUAAACAACGGCAAACUUAUAAAUGGCGAAAAAGAACUCGCUCUCGCAGCUUAAUUAAGUAAAGCGACGUUCGACUUGUUUUAAAUCCGGCGAAACAGGAUCGAGCGACGAAAGUCCGGAUUGCGACCCGAAAUUCGACCAGUGUUCCGGGAGUAAGAAAUAAGCUGGCUAUGUUAAUAUGCUCUGUUCGCCAGUCAACAAGUUUAUUAACUAAAGAAUGACUGGAUAUGCCCGUAGACGUUGAAGUACGAACUGAAUUGGACGGGGAGUUCGACCCUCCCCCGUCUCCACCA